rnacentral:ncRNA from 1 species
GAAUAGGUGCCCGAAAGGGCUUAAUAGGGAAAUCGGUACAAUGCCGAUGCGGUCCCGCCACUGUAUUAGGGAGCAAAUCCAUAGAAUGCCACUGAAGCUUAGCUUUGGGAAGGUUUGGAUACGCAAUGAACUAGAGCCAGGAGAACUGCCUAUUUAUC